AGUGAACGCUGGCGGUAGGCCUAACACAUGCAAGUCGAACGGCAGCACAGUAAGAGCUUGCUCUUACGGGUGGCGAGUGGCGGACGGGUGAGGAAUACAUCGGAAUGUACUUUUUCGUGGGGGAUAACGUAGGGACACUUACGCUAAUACCGCAUACGACCUACGGGUGAAAGCAGGGGAUCUUCGGACCUUGCGCGAUUGAAUGAGCCGAUGUCGGAUUAGCUAGUUGGCGGGGUAACGGCCCACCAAGGCGACGAUCCGUAGCUGGUCUGAGAGGAUGACCAGCCACACUGGAACUGAGACACGGUCCAGACUCCUACGGGAGGCAGCAGUGGGGAAUAUUGGACAAUGGGCGCAAGCCUGAUCCAGCCAUACCGCGUGGGUGAAGAAGGCCUUCGGGUUGUAAAGCCCUUUUGUUGGGAAAGAAAAGCAGCAGGUUAAUACCCCGCUGUUCUGACGGUACCCAAAGAAUAAGCACCGGCUAACUUCGUG
rnacentral:rRNA from 1 species